CAGCAAUAAAUACUUCCUGUUGCAUGCUUGGACUUAGCGUGUCAGACCUGCUUUCCACUCUCAGUGACUAAUGACUUUUUGAUAGUCACACAACAAAGUCUAUGGAGAAAAUGAUGGACCAGUCAAGUUCUCAUCGGAAUGCAGGACUGGCUUUGACAGACUUUACCACAACACCCGGGAUUGUUCCCGACCAGCGUACUAUAAAAGAUGUGCCAGGUUGCUGACACGGUUAGCCAUGAGUCCUCUCUGCACGCC